rnacentral:rRNA from 1 species
UACGUAGGGACCAAGCGUUGUUCGGAUUUACUGGGCGUAAAGGGCGCGUAGGCGGCGUGGUAAGUCACUUGUGAAAUCUCUGAGCUUAACUCAGAACGGCCAAGUGAUACUGCUGUGCUAGAGUGCAGAAGGGGCAAUCGGAAUUCUUGGUGUAGCGGUGAAAUGCGUAGAUAUCAGGAGGAACACCGGUGGCGAAGGCGGAUCUCUGGGCCGAUACUGACGCUGAGGAGCGAAAGCGUGGGGAGCGAACAGG